AUUGAACGCUGGCGGCAGGCCUAACACAUGCAAGUCGAGCGGAUGAAGGGAGCUUGCUCCUGGCUUCAGCGGCGGACGGGCGAGUAAUGCCUAGGAAUCUGCCCGGUCGUGGGGGCUAACGUCCGGAAACGGGCGCUAAUACAGCAUACGUCCUGAGGGAGAAAGUGGGGGAUCUUCGGACCUCACGCUAUUAGAUGAGACUAGGUCGGAUUAGCUAGUUGGUGGGGUAAAGGCCUACCAAGGCGACGAUCCGUAACUGGUCUGAGAGGAUGAUCAGUCACACUGGAACUGAGACACGGUCCAGACUCCUACGGGAGGCAGCAGUGGGGAAUAUUGGACAAUGGGCGAAAGCCUGAUCCAGCCAUGCCGCGUGUGUGAAGAAGGUCUUCGGAUUGUAAAGCUCUUUAAGUUGGGAGGAAGGGCAGUAAGUUAAUACCUUGCUGUUUUGACGUUACCAACAGAGUAAGCACCGGCUAACUUCGUG
rnacentral:rRNA from 1 species